rnacentral:lncRNA from 1 species
GGCGAUUGAUGGUGGUGAAGGUUGUUGUAAUGUGACGUUGCUUGAUGUUAGUAGUUUAAGGUUUUGAUUGUAUUGACUGAAACAUGAAUGCAUAAUGAUUGACGAUGUGUUGGUGCUAAUUGGAGAUGUUAUUUGUUGUGACGGUAGAGAUGGUUGUUAGUAGAGAUAAAUUGUAGCGAUGGUACUGGUUGAAGUGGUGGUAGAGGUGGUGUUCCUAGUGACAAUGGUGGCGGCGGCUAA